GCAGCCACGCUGUCGCGGAUAAGAGCUGAAAGCAUCUAAGCUCGAAGCCGCUCCUGAAACUAGGUAACCAUUCCCUGACACGAGACCUGGUAACAGGCCUCAGUCAUGGACGAGGGCUCCCAUAGAAGAUGGGUUUGAUGGAGUCGGGGUGUACGCACCGAGGCUUUGGCCGAGGUGUUCAGCCUGCGGCUUCCAACCGCUCAAGGUGCCGGGCUG
rnacentral:rRNA from 1 species